CGCAUCUGUGCAUGCAGCAUAUCAAUAAGCGGAGGAAAAGAAACUAACAAGGAUUCCCUCAGUAACGGCGAGUGAAGCGGGAAGAGCUCAAAUUUGAAAUCUUGAAAGGUCACCUUUCACGAAUUGUAGUUUAAAGAAGUGUUUUCUGUUACGAUCGUAAUAUAAGUUCUUUGGAAUAGGACAGUCACAGAGGGUGAGAAUCCCGUCUAUGAUUGCGAUUUGUAGCUUUGUGAUACACUUUCAAAGAGUCGGGUUGUUUGGGAAUGCAGCCCAAAACGGGAGGUAAAUUUCUUCUAAGGCUAAAUAUUGGCGAGAGACCGAUAGCGAACAAGUACCGUGAGGGAAAGAUGAAAAGAACUUUGAAAAGAGAGCUAAAUAGUACGUGAAAUUGUCAAAAGGGAAGCGUUUAACACCAGUGUUGUUUUCUGAAAAUCAACCUCUGUUAGCUUUAUGCAUGUUUGUUUAGACCUAAUCAGCUAUCUUGCAUGUUCUAUUGUUUGCAGUGGUGCACUUUUCAGUUUACAGGUCAACAUCAGUUUUUUUUACCGUAAAAAAGUUAAAGAAAGGUAGCUCAUGGCUCCGGUCGUGAGUGUUAUAGUCUUUUUCCUAUGCGGUAGGAGAGACUGAGGUCUGCAGUGUAGGCUAUUUGGCUAGAUACUCAGGUGCUAUGUGAUACCAUUUCAUAAACAACUUGUUGAUUAUGUUUUGUCUAUUGCAUACUCGCUUGUACUAUCAUACCUACGCUUAGGAUGUUGAAGUCAUCGUAUCGCGC
rnacentral:rRNA from 1 species